UUAGAGUUUGAUCCUGGCUCAGGAUGAACGCUAGCGGCAGGCUUAACACAUGCAAGUCGAGGGGCAGCGAGAUCAGUGCUUGCACUGAUUGUCGGCGACCGGCGCACGGGUGCGUAACGCGUAUGCAACCUACCCAUUACAGGGGGAUAACACUGAGAAAUCGGUACUAAUACCCCAUAACAUCCAGGGAGGCAUCUUCUUGGGUUGAAAACUCCGGUGGUAAUGGAUGGGCAUGCGUUGUAUUAGUUAGUUGGUGGGGUAACGGCUCACCAAGACAACGAUACAUAGGGGGACUGAGAGGUUAACCCCCCACAUUGGUACUGAGACACGGACCAAACUCCUACGGGAGGCAGCAGUGAGGAAUAUUGGUCAAUGGACGCAAGUCUGAACCAGCCAUGCCGCGUGCAGGAAGACGGCUCUAUGAGUUGUAAACUGCUUUUGUACGAGGGUAAACGCAGAUACGCGUAUCUGUCUGAAAGUAUCGUACGAAUAAGGAUCGGCUAACUCCGUGCCAGCAGCCGCGGUAAUACGGAGGAUUCAAGCGUUAUCCGGAUUUAUUGGGUUUAAAGGGUGCGUAGGCGGUCGGAUAAGUUAGAGGUGAAAUCCCGGGGCUCAACUUCGGAAUUGCCUCUGAUACUGUUCGGCUAGAGAGUAGUUGCGGUAGGCGGAAUGUAUGGUGUAGCGGUGAAAUGCUUAGAGAUCAUACAGAACACCGAUUGCGAAGGCAGCUUACCAAGCUACUUCUGACGUUGAGGCACGAAAGCGUGGGGAGCAAACAGGAUUAGAUACCCUGGUAGUCCACGCAGUAAACGAUGAUAACUCGUUGUCGGCGAUACAGUGUCGGUGACUAAGCGAAAGCGAUAAGUUAUCCACCUGGGGAGUACGUUCGCAAGAAUGAAACUCAAAGGAAUUGACGGGGGCCCGCACAAGCGGAGGAACAUGUGGUUUAAUUCGAUGAUACGCGAGGAACCUUACCCGGGCUUGAAAGUUAGUGACGGAUCUUGAAAGAGGUCUUCCCUUCGGGGCACGAAACUAGGUGCUGCAUGGUUGUCGUCAGCUCGUGCCGUGAGGUGUCGGGUUAAGUCCCAUAACGAGCGCAACCCCUACCGUUAGUUGCCAGCAGGUCAAGCUGGGCACUCUGACGGGACUGCCGGUGUAAGCCGAGAGGAAGGUGGGGAUGACGUCAAAUCAGCACGGCCCUUACGUCCGGGGCUACACACGUGUUACAAUGGCAGGUACAGAGGGCAGCUACCCAGCGAUGGGAUGCGAAUCUCGAAAGCCUGUCUCAGUUCGGAUUGGAGGCUGAAACCCGCCUCCAUGAAGUUGGAUUCGCUAGUAAUCGCGCAUCAGCCAUGGCGCGGUGAAUACGUUCCCGGGCCUUGCACACACCGCCCGUCA
rnacentral:rRNA from 1 species